GAAAGGGAAACCAUUCGCGUUUCCCUCAUCAUCUCCGACCUCUCUCACUUCACUCGCUCUCUCAACCUCAACGCCACUCUCCACUUCUCUCAAACUCGCUCACUCUAAAUCAAAGAAACCUUCUCUCUCAUCUCUUCGCUCGUCUCACUCUCUCACAAUGCCUUUCUCUCGCUCACAUGCGUAUCACUCUCUCUCGUCCUCUCCACCUCUCUCAAUCGUUAAAACUCUCUCACUCGAGCUCUCAAACUCAAUCAAUCCUUCCCUAUCAAAUGCUCAAAGGAACCUAAACGAAAAAAAACUCACCCUCGGUGGCGGUAACGACGAGCUCCGGGUUUCGAAAGUGUAAUUGGUGUUCAAAGGAGAAAGCUUUCAGAAGCGCUUUUGGAUGCUCAGAAGUGCUUUGUCUUGUUUGAUGCUAUCUUCCGGAAAGUGAAAAAUUAUUGAAGACUCAAGAGUGGUUUCGGUUCCGGCUCCGGUUUAACAGUCUGAUGGACGAUAGGUCGUGGAUUCCGAGUCUUCAAAGCAAAGCAAAAUGGCUUGGCGCGUUGCGAACUCCAUACCAGCUGUUGUUGGAUUCGUACUGUGGUCUGCAAAGAGACAUAAUUAUGAUUGAAUUGCACUGUAACUUGUAUUGUUUGAAAUGUAUUCUAACAACCACGUAACACUUUGGUUCAAAACGGAAGGCUCUUUGCAGUAACCGGAGGUAGCAUCAUUGCCAUGCCAGCAGGGGUUGCUCCCGGAAAUUAUCUUUUACUGAGUCUAGAAACUCAGCAUCGGUCUGCUGAUAUGUUUCACUUAGCCAAUUUGGUAUCCGUCAAAACUUUGGAUGCUUCGUGAGAUUUUCAAAUACGUGAUCCUUCAAAUACUCAGCAGCACGAGAACCGCCAUGACCGUCAAAUAUUCCAAAUAAGCUCACUAAACGGCGGCCAAUGGUUGAUGUCUUAACAUCAUAGAAAUCUUCCAUGGAAUGAGGUUUUGGCCAGGUGACAUGGUGGACCGGGAACAAAGGAAUUGGCUGUAGUUUCCAAGAGCAAACUCUUACGAUGUUGGUGCAGUUGGUAGCAUUUUAAACAUAUCUUGUUUUACGUCACGGUUAUUCUUCCGGCAGGGUCACGGCUUAUCUGAGAAGUUUGAACACUUUCUUGUUGUUGCAAUGGCAUUGAUAGUGGAAUAGAUGAAAGUGGUGCAUUAGGAACAUGUGGCCAUCGAGCUUGCACCGACAUCUCAGUAGAGUGCUGGAAAGGAGAAACAUCAUACAUAGCCACUGGAGAUGCCAUUGGCAGAAGUGGUGAACCAGGAGCAAGAUGUUGAAUUUGAGAAAGCAUGCUAGCAGGAAAAUGUGAGAUCAUCUGGCCUGAAGAAUUCUGUGCAUUUGGUAAAGCAGGCCACAACGAAAUUGGCGGUGUCUCAUUUUUUUUCUUGAUUAUUAUGUUGUAAAAUGAUCAAUGGUAUUUGGAAUUCUUUUGAAGAUAUGCUCUACUGUAAACCUUGCAGUAGUUUUCACUUCAAAUUCAUUAUGUAUUUGUCUAAUAAUAACAUGCU